UCAGGUCAUGGGUCAGAAAGCACAGAGGUGAUAAAUGCUUCCAGGUCACCUCUCCUGUCUCAGGGGGUCAGGGAGAGGGUUUCUGCAGUGACAGCAACAACAUGAUCACUCAGCUGAAGCACCAGAGUUGAACCUCUGUGACCCGUCUCUGCUCUGUCAACCUCAUACCGUUUCUACCAACCAACCAUCCACAAAAGGCAUCUGCUACAAUCAGAACAAAAAGGGCCACGCACCACCAAAGCACAGACGUGGAACCUUCACUCUGAAAUGUAAACCAGGGCAGAGCUACCCAGCCUCACUCCUGGCAGGUGACCACAUACUGAGCUCCUGCUGCUGCUCCUGAAAACCAGAAGGAAACUGCUGAGCAACAGUAGCCCAAUCACGACAACCGCCACUGCACAGAUGGCUGCUACCAUCAUAGUAUGAUCGCCAGGUUUCUUAUCUGGUUUCUGG